CCUACGGGUGGCAGCAGUGAGGAAUAUUGGUCAAUGGACGAGAGUCUGAACCAGUCAAGUAGCGUGAAGGAUGACUGCCCUAUGGGUUGUAAACUUCUUUUAUAUGGGAAUAAAAUGUUCCACGUGUGGGAUUUUGUAUGUACCAUAUGAAUAAGGAUCGGCUAACUCCGUGCCAGCAGCCGCGGUAAUACGGAGGAUCCGAGCGUUAUCCGGAUUUAUUGGGUUUAAAGGGAGCGUAGGUGGAUUGUUAAGUCAGUUGUGAAAGUUUGCGGCUCAACCGUAAAAUUGCAGUUGAAACUGGCAGUCUUGAGUACAGUAGAGGUGGGCGGAAUGCGUGGUGUAGCGGUGAAAUGCUUAGAUAUCACGAAGAACUCCGAUUGCGAAGGCAGUUCACUGGACUGCAACUGACACUGAGGCUCGAAAGUGUGGGUAUCAAACAGGAUUAGAUACCCUGGUAGUC
rnacentral:rRNA from 1 species